rnacentral:sRNA from 1 species
GCCGGGGGCGGUGGCGCAUGCCUGUAAUCCCAGCAGCUCAGGAGGCUGAGACAGAAGGAUCACAAGUUCAAAGUCAGCCUCAGCAACAGCGAGGAGCUAAGCAACUCAGUGAGACCCUGUCUCUA